GACCUGGUGGUGAAUGGUUCAUACCCACCCUCUUUCAUAGAUCACAAGAUGUGAGGUGGGAGUUCCUGGUUCGAUUCCGGGUCGGGUCA